AUAAUUAUCAUUAACACAUUCUUACACUUCAUGCUUAUGCUAAGGUCUAUCCAUAGACCAAUUUAGUCACUUUUAAAUCAUCAAGUAAUCUAGGGCACAUUCACAAUUCAUCCAUACCAAACACACAUGACCACACCCUAUGAAACCUUUUAGUACAUGCAUACAUAUAUGGAUAGGUUUACAACCCAAUAACCAAUAUGAGCCACAUCACAUGGCCAUAUACAAAAAGAAUCAUAUUCUCAUUAUGAGCCAAUACAUUUGGCCAAAUCAAAUGACACAUAUCGAAUUGACUAAGUUCCUAUACAUGCCAUAGAUUUAAAGUGCUUGAAAUCAUUUAUACCCUUCAAUAGCUGGAUAGUGUGAUAGAAUUUUUGACGAUCUCCAACCCGAGCUAGCAUCUGUGACAGUAUGUGAGAAAGGAAAGGAAAGGGGUAAGCUAUAUAGCUUAGUAAGUCCAUAUGAAAAUAAUAAGCAAUUUAUUAACAUGUUUUUAACAAUUCUCACAACAUGUUUUUAACAAUCAUAAUUGCACAAAAUUCUACUAUUUACUCCUAUUCAUCUCAAGUUGUCUACUCAAGUCACAGUCACUAAAUUAUUUAUAUCUUGAGCUACGGAACUCCAAAUUAAGAUCCGUUAAUUUUGCCUGAAACUAGACUCACAUAUCUUCUUACCAUAAAAUUUUUAGAAAUUUUGGUCUAGCCAAUAAGUGCAGUUUAUUCUUUAAAUUCUCCCCUGUUCUGCUGUUUGACAAUUUCAACCCUUCUUCAUUAAAAAUUAAUUAUCUCACAGUACGAAAUCCGGAUAAUGUUCUGUUUCUCUUGAAAUAAGUAUUUAGUCAAUAAGUAUUUAGUCAUUAAAAAUUUUGGUCUAGCCAAUAAGUAUUUAGUCAUAUGAAUUCUAACUCAUAAUUAUUUUCAUAAAAUUAUUAAUGAUUUUCCGAAGUUAAGACAAAGGAACCCAAAAUCACUCUAGCCUUGUCUUACAGAAAUCCAUAUAUCUCAUAACAUGAAAUUCUUUUGCUUACACCGUUUCUUCUACGUGAAAUUAGACUCGAUAAGGUUUAAUUUCAUAUUUUAUUCAACCUCUAACUAAAUUUCCACAAUUUUUGGUGGAUUUUCAAAGUCGGACUACUGCUCUGUCCAAAACUAUUUUAGUGUAGAAUAACGAUAACUAAGUUUAUAGCACCUUUACAAAUCAUUUUAACCUUCACGGUAAAAAUACAUAUUUAUACAUCAUAACCAUAGACCCAUAAUCACAAGGUCAUCACAAAAUCAUUCUUAUGGGCAUGACUUACUUAUUUGCAUCCUUACUAAAGAUGCAUCAUAAACCGAGAUCAUUUCUCAUGAGUUUUGCACACAUACCCGUACCACUUGCAACAUCAUCAUAACUUUUCUCAAUCAUGACACAAUCUUUAAAUCACCCGUUGAACCAAUUGGAACACUAAAGAAUACCCGAUAAGCCUCAUACAAAAGGGUAAAAUACCGAUGCCAUGUCCCAGACAUGGUCUUACACUGACACAUAUAACAAUACCGAUGCCAUGUUCCAAGCAUGAUCUUACACUGGCCGCAUAUUGAGGCCGAUGCCAUAUCCCAAACAUGGUCUUACAUUGGCUCUCAUAAUGUGGCAGAUGCCAUGUCCCAGACAUGGUCUUACACUAGCACACAUAUCAAAGUCGAUGCCAUGUCCCAGACAUAGUCUUACACUGGCUCUCAUAAUGUGGUCGAUGCCAUGUCUCAGACAUGGUCUUACACUAGCACACAUAUCAACACCGAUGCCAUGUCCCAAACAUGGUCUUACACUGGCUCUCAUAAUAUGGCCGAUGCCAUGUCCCAAAUAUGGUCUUAUGUUAGCACACAUAUCAACCGAAUGUCUUGGCAUGGAUAUCCAAUCUAUUCCUAAGGUUCAACCAGAAGUUUUACCACAACAAAUCUCGUCAUACAUAUUCCAUGUAAUAUCACUCUUUUAACACCAAUUUACCAUUCAGUACAAUGUCAUCAAACAUCAUAAACAUAUGUUUUAGGUCAUUGCAUAUACAUAGCUUACAAUAUAAUUUCGUGAAGCAUAACACCAUCACGUACAUAGUACCACAAACAUAUAAUUCAACGCAUCCGCAUUUUCAUAUCAAUUCAUAUUGCAAUCACAAAUCACAAUAACAUUAUUGUCUUACCAAUUUUAUCAUACGACUCGUUUGUCGAUUCCUCGUCGAGUAUGUCCGUAACAAAUCAUACAAAUUAUAUAAUAAAAAUUAGGCAUUUCAAUUCAAAUAAGACAUUGCAUUAUUAUUAUCACACGAACUUACCUCGAAUGCAAAAACGGCUAAUUAUUCUCUUUUUGUCCUUAACCACGUACUUUCUCGAUUUAAGCUCGAAUCUUGAUUUUCUUGAUCUAACAUUUCAAAUAUAGCUUAUUUAUUACUCACAAUAUUCAAAUUAACCCAAAAAUCAUACUUUGAAAAUUUUACAAUUUUACCCCUAAAAUUUUACUUAUUUGCAAAUUAGCCCCUAAGCUCGAAAAAUAAAAUUUAUUCAAUUUUAUCCCAACCCAGGCCUAGCCGAAUAUUUAUCUUACUAACAGCAACUCACAUAUUUCAUUAUUUCACAUAUUUACCAUCUAUUUUACCACUUUUACAAAAUGGUCCAUUUUAGGUGUUUUCAUGAAAAUCACUUAACAAAAGUUGUUUAUUUAACAACUAAUAUUCGUUUUCUUCCAUAAAAAUGCAGGAAAAACAUGAAUAUUAUCGUGUAAAAACCCUAUACUUUCAACCAUUUUGUAAAAUAGUCCCCUCAUUAGCUAAAUUAAGCUACAAGGGUUCCAAAAAUACAAAAAUUAUCAAAAAUGACCAUCAAAAUCACUUACUUGUGAGGGUUAGAAGUUGCAGAAAUUGUCAAGCUUCCAUGGCUAUUUCCUUGGGUAAAAAUCGGUGAAGAAGAAAGAGAAAUAAAAAAAAGAU
rnacentral:lncRNA from 1 species